rnacentral:rRNA from 1 species
ACGCACGCUGGCGGCGUGCUUAACACCUGCAAGUCGAACGGAAAGGCCCUGCUUUUGUGGGGUGCUCGAGUGGCGAACGGGUGAGUAACACGUGAGUAACCUGCCCUUGACUUUGGGAUAACUUCAGGAAACUGGGGCUAAUACCGGAUAGGAGCUCCUGCUGCAUGGUGGGGGUUGGAAAGUUUCGGCGGUUGGGGAUGGACUCGCGGCUUAUCAGCUUGUUGGUGGGGUAGUGGCUUACCAAGGCUUUGACGGGUAGCCGGCCUGAGAGGGUGACCGGCCACAUUGGGACUGAGAUACGGCCCAGCCUCCUACGGGAGGCAGCAGUGGGGAAUAUUGCACAAUGGGCGGAAGCCUGAUGCAGCGACGCCGCGUGCGGGAUGACGGCCUUCGGGUUGUAAACCGCUUUCGCCUGUGACGAAGCGUGAGUGACGGUAAUGGGUAAAGAAGCACCGGCUAACUACGUG